rnacentral:rRNA from 1 species
UGGGGAAUUUUGGGCAAUGGGGGCAACCCUGAUCCAGCCAUGCCGCGUGAGUGAAGAAGGCCUUCGGGUUGUAAAGCUCUUUCGGACGGAAAGAAACGGUUACGGUUAAUACCCGUGACUAAUGACGGUACCGUAAGAAGAAGCACCGGCUAACUACGUGCCAGCAGCCGCGGUAAUACGUAGGGUGCGAGCGUUAAUCGGAAUUACUGGGCGUAAAGCGUGCGCAGGCGGUUUCGUAAGACAGACGUGAAAUCCCCGGGCUUAACCUGGGAACUGCGUUUGUGACUGCGAGACUAGAGUGUAGCAGAGGGGGGUAGAAUUCCACGUGUAGCAGUGAAAUGCGUAGAUAUGUGGAGGAAUACCGAUGGCGAAGGCAGCCCCCUGGGCUAACACUGACGCUCAUGCACGAAAGCGUGGGGAGCAAACAGGAUUAGAUACCCUGGUAGUCCACGCCCUAAACGAUGUCAACUAGGUGUUGGGGAAGGAGACUUCUUUAGUACCGCAGCUAACGCGUGAAGUUGACCGCCUGGGGAGUACGGUCGCAAGAUUA